rnacentral:tRNA from 1 species
UUGAUUAAAGCCAAAAAGAGGCAUCUCAUUGUUAAUGAUAAUAUUAGGUUCUCCUUAAUCAAG